GACCCCUUAGCUCAGUGGUAGAGCGUGUGAUUCCAGAAAGGUUUGACCCCUAAGUGGCGUCCACAAGGCCAAGCGUUCAACUCGCUUAGGGGUCA